rfam:Glycine soja cultivar W05 scaffold610_23, whole genome shotgun sequence.
GAGUGUCAUAUCAUCAUGCCUUGUCACAGACACCCCAUUGCCAUGUCAUUACCUUCAAUGACAUGGUAAUGAUGUGUCAGUGAUUGGGCGUGAUGAUGUGACACUCCAU